rnacentral:rRNA from 1 species
GACGUAGGGCGCGAGCGUUGUCCGGAUUUAUUGGGCGUAAAGCGUACCGAUAGGUGGUUUUACAAGUCAGAAGUGAAAUCUCAAGGCUUAACCUUGAGUCUGUCUUUUGAAACUGUAAAACUAGAGGGGCAAAGAGGAAGCUGGAACGAACGGUGUAGUAGUGAAAUGCGUUGAUAUCGUUCGGAACACCAAUAGCGUAGGCAAGCUUCUGGGUGCCACCUGACACUGCUAGGACGAAAGCGUGGGGAGCGAAUGGG